GGAACAACCCGCCGAAAGGCGGGCUAAACCCGCGUACAUGCCACCGGGGCAUCCCGGAGGCAGGAAAGGCUUCGGCCGGACAGGGAUGGGCAUGCGGCGCAUUAGGCAGUAGGCGGGGUAACGGCCCACCUAACCGACGAUGCGUAGGGGUCCUGAGAGGAAGGUCCCCCACACUGGUACUGAGACACGGACCAGACUCCUACGGGAGGCAGCAGUGAGGAAUAUUGGUCAAUGGUCGGGAGACUGAACCAGCCAAGCCGCGUGAGGGAGGAAGGUACAGAGUAUCGUAAACCUCUUUUGUCAGGGAACAAAGACUGGGACGCGUCCCCGGAUGAGUGUACCUGAAGAAAAAGCAUCGGCUAACUCCGUGCCAGCAGCCGCGGUAAUACGGAGGAUGCGAGCGUUAUCCGGAUUUAUUGGGUUUAAAGGGUGCGCAGGCGGUCUGUUAAGUCAGCGGUCAAAGCCCGGGGCUCAACCCCGGCCCGCCGUUGAAACUGGCAGUCUCGAGUUGGAGAGAAGUAUGCGGAAUGCGCGGUGUAGCGGUGAAAUGCAUAGAUAUCGCGCAGAACUCCGAUUGCGAAGGCAGCAUGCCGGCUCCACACUGACGCUGAGGCACGAAAGCGUGGGUAUCGAACAGGAUUAGAUACCCUGGUAGUCCACGCAGUAAAC
rnacentral:rRNA from 1 species